UUUUCUUUGCAAUACAAACAUAAUCAAUGAAGCAGUAGUAUAUAUCUUCGGCCAGAAACAAAUACAAAUACACUCCUCUAAUAAAAAAAUAUAGAAAUACACAGUACCCCUACUUAGGUCCUACACGCUAUGCCCUAAUCUGCAUUAAGCAGGAUAAGAACAAAAAGAGAGCGGGGCCAGGCCAUGCCAUUUGCAGAAGCUCUCACGCACAUCCGAACAGAGCUGAUGCUCCAAGCAUCCAAACGCUCAGGUCCCCCGGGAUCUUCCAUUUGGCUCACUCCAGCAGCUGCCAGAUCGCCAUCGUGGCGCGAGCGACUAGCUACAAAUCUGGGCGCUGAACACCCUGCGAUACCUCCUGCCACUGCCAGGCAAGACCAGGCCUACUAAGCUCCUGCCAGCCAAGGAGGGCCUACUUAGGCUGGUCAUAGUGGGGAGUAACUUAUACUAAUGUCAUGCAUAUGACACUAGUCUAAGUUACUACCUUCAUAGUGCAAAGUAACAUACUAGUAGUGUCAUAUGUGGCUUCAUUUAAUGGCUUGUAGACUCAUCAUGUCUUGGGAAACGCUAUGUUACAGUAACAUAUUAUGUUACUACUUCUCAUUAACUACAUGCCACAUAAGCAAAAAUUUCUCGAAGUGUGCUAUGUUACUAUCUAAGUUACUCCCACUAUGACUAGCCUUAGGAAAAUGAUCAGCAACAAAAAAAUAUGCUUACAUCUGAGCUGACGCAGCCAAACCGAUGCGUACGAC
rnacentral:lncRNA from 1 species